rnacentral:rRNA from 1 species
AAUCUUCCACAAUGGGCGGAAGCCUGAUGGAGCAACGCCGCGUGAGUGAAGAAGGGUUUCGGUUCGUAAAACUCUGUUGUAAGGGAAGAACAAGUACAGUCGUAACUGGCUGUACCUUGACGGUACCUUAUUAGAAAGUCACGCCUAACUACGUGCCGGCAGCCGCGGUAAUACGUAGGUGGCAAGCGUUGUCCGGAAUUAUUGGGCGUAAAGCGCGCGCAGGCGGUCCUUGAAGUCUGAUGUGAAAGCCCACGGCUCAACCGUGGAGGGUCAUUGGAAACUGGGGGACUUGAGUGCAGAAGAGGAAAGUGGAAUUCCAAGUGUAGCGGUGAAAUGCGUAGAGAUUUGGAGGAACACCAGUGGCGAAGGCGACUUUCUGGUCUGUAACUGACGCUGAGGCGCGAAAGCGUGGGGAGCAAACA